rnacentral:rRNA from 1 species
AGAGUUUGAUCCUGGCUCAGGACGAACGCUGGCGGCGUGCUUAACACAUGCAAGUCGAACGGUGAUCCAGGAGCUUGCUCCUGGUGAUCAGUGGCGAACGGGUGAGUAACACGUGAGUAACCUGCCCCUGACUCUGGAAUAACCCCGGGAAACCGGAGCUAAUACCGGAUAUGACACCAAUCCGCAUGGGUAUGGUGUGGAAAGUUUUCGGUCUGGGAUGGACUCGCGGCCUAUCAGCUUGUUGGUGAGGUAAUGGCUCACCAAGGCGACGACGGGUAGCCGGCCUGAGAGGGCGACCGGCCACACUGGGACUGAGACACGGCCCAGACUCCUACGGGAGGCAGCAGUGGGGAAUAUUGCACAAUGGGCGAAAGCCUGAUGCAGCGACGCCGCGCGAGGGAUGACGGCCUUCGGGUUGUAAACCUCUUUCAGCAGGGAAGAAGCGCAAGUGACGGUACCUGCAGAAGAAGCACCGGCUAACUACGUGCCAGCAGCCGCGGUAAUACGUAGGGUGCGAGCGUUGUCCGGAAUUAUUGGGCGUAAAGAGCUUGUAGGCGGCUUGUCGCGUCUGCUGUGAAAAUCCGAGGCUCAACCUCGGACUUGCAGUGGGUACGGGCAGGCUAGAGUGUGGUAGGGGAGACUGGAAUUCCUGGUGUAGCGGUGAAAUGCGCAGAUAUCAGGAGGAACACCGAUGGCGAAGGCAGGUCUCUGGGCCACUACUGACGCUGAGAAGCGAAAGCAUGGGGAGCGAACAGGAUUAGAUACCCUGGUAGUCCAUGCCGUAAACGUUGGGAACUAGGUGUGGGUCUCAUUCCACGAGAUCCGUGCCGCAGCUAACGCAUUAAGUUCCCCGCCUGGGGAGUACGGCCGCAAGGCUAAAACUCAAAGGAAUUGACGG